GGGGUUUUUUAUUUAUGCAAAUCGGGUUCAGAUUAUGCGUUCUAUGUGCGGCUCCCGCUUUGUGACGUCACAGUGCAAGCUUGCAGUAUUUAUUGCCCGCUGCCGUACAGUUCACCUGUCAGUGUAAAGUCGUCACGCCGCUGCCAUAAGAAAAUGGCGGAUUUCACAGAUCAGACCUUUUUACCUUUGAUGAACCUCUGGAUAUAAGUGACAAUAAUCAUUUAUAAGCGGACCCCAGUGGAGCCAAAGUGUUGGAGGGUCCAGACGCAGCCAAAGGCCCAGAAGUCCAUGUUGGAGCCAACAUCCCUCGCCCCGAAAGACCAAGGCAGAGCCAUAGAGACGAAUGACACCAGCAGAGCCAGAGGAAUCACAGAGUCAUCAUCUUGUUCAUGUGCAUUUUAUUAUUUUGGAUUAUUUUGCGUGUAUAUUUGGCUCAUAUAGGAGUGAGGUAGUUCUCCUUCUCAUGUUUCAGUCAUUGUAUUUUCAUAUUUGCAUAUAUCUCCACAUAUUUUUCUGCUUUCCAGCGUCUCCUUCAUGUGCACUUUCUUAUUUUAGAUUUUUUUUUGUGUGUCAUCUUUGACUCACUUCGGAGUAAUAUAGUUCUUCCUCUUAUCUUUGAGUCAUCAGUGUUUUAUACUUACAUCUUUGCAUCAUCUCCUUAAAUUUCUUGUCUUCUUGUUUUUUUUUUUACAUCAUCUUUGGCUCACAUCAGGCUGAGAUAUUUCUCCCUCUAAUGUUUGAGUCUUGCGUAUUUAUGAAUCGUGUAAUUUCCAAAUAUUCAGCAUCUCCUCAUCUGAAUCUCGUUCAAGCAGUUUUUUAUUUUGAAUUUUCUCAUGUCAUCUUUGGCUCAUAUCGGAUGACUCAUGUUGAGUCAUCAUACUUGGGGUUUUCUACUUUUCAACAUUUUCUUCAUGUGCAUAUUCCUAUUUUGAAUUUUUCUUGCGUCAUAUUUGGCUCACAUCAGGGUGAGAUAUUUUUCCCAAUCAUGUUCGAAUCUUAUAAUUGUGUUUCCCUUUCAUAGGUCACUUCGA
ensembl:lncRNA